rnacentral:rRNA from 1 species
AGAUUGAACGCUGGCGGCAUGCCUUACACAUGCAAGUCGAACGGCAGCACGGGGGCAACCCUGGUGGCGAGUGGCGAACGGGUGAGUAAUGCAUCGGAACGUGCCCAGUAGUGGGGGAUAACUAGUCGAAAGAUUAGCUAAUACCGCAUACGACCUAUGGGUGAAAGCGGGGGAUUCGCAAGAACCUCGCGCUAUCGGAGCGGCCGAUGUCUGAUUAGCUAGUUGCGGGUAAAGCCACCAAGCUUCGAUCAGUAGCUGGUCUGAGAGGACGACCAGCCACACUGGGACUGAGACACGGCCCAGACUCCUACGGGAGCAGCAGUGGGAAUUUGGACAA